rnacentral:rRNA from 1 species
GACGAACGCUGGCGGCGUGCUUAACACAUGCAAGUCGAACGGAAAGGCCCUGCUUUUGUUGGGUGCUCGAGUGGCGAACGGGUGAUUAACACGUUAGUAACCUGCCCUUGACUUUGGGAUAACUUCAGGAAACUGGGGCUAAUACCGGAUAUGAUCUCCUGCUGCAUGGUGGGGGUUGGAAAGUUUCGGCGGGUGGGGAUGGACUCGCGGCUUAUCAGCUUGUUGGUGGGGUAGUGGCUUACCAAGGCUUUGACGGGUAGCCGGCCUGAGAGGGUGACCGGCCACAUUGGGACUGAGAUACGGCCCAGACUACUAAGGGAGGAAGCAGUGGGGAAUAUUGAACAAUGGGCGGAAGCCUGAUGCAGCAACGACGAGUGCGGGAUGACGGCCUUCGGGUUGUAAACCGCUUUCGCCUGUGACGAAGAGUGAGUGACGGUAAUGGGUAAAGAAGCACCGGCUAACUACGUG